GACGAACGCUGGCGGCGUGCUUAACACAUGCAAGUCGAACGGAAAGGCCCUGCUUUUGUGGGGUGCUCGAGUGGCGAACGGGUGAGUAACACGUGAGUAACCUGCCCUUGACUUUGGGAUAACUUCAGGAAACUGGGGCUAAUACCGGAUAGGAGCUCCUGCUGCAUGGUGGGGGUUGGAAAGUUUCGGCGGUUGGGGAUGGACUCGCGGCUUAUCAGCUUGUUGGUGGGGUAGUGGCUUACCAAGGCUUUGACGGGUAGCCGGCCUGAGAGGGUGACCGGCCGCAUUGGGACUGAGAUACGGCCCAGACUCCUACGGGAGGCAGCAGUGGGGAAUAUUGCACAAUGGGCGGAAGCCUGAUGCAGCAACGCCGCGUGCGGGAUGACGGCCUUCGGGUUGUAAACCGCUUUCGCCUGUGACGAAGCGUGAGUGACGGCAAUGGGUAAAGAAGCACCGGCUAACUACGUG
rnacentral:rRNA from 1 species